rnacentral:rRNA from 1 species
GACGGGUGAGUAACGCGUGGGUAACCUGCCCUGUACACACGGAUAACAUACCGAAAGGUAUGCUAAUACGAGAUAAUAUGCUUUUAUCGCAUGGUAGAAGUAUCAAAGCUUUUGCGGUACAGGAUGGACCCGCGUCUGAUUAGCUGGUUGGUAAGGUAACGGCUUAUCAAGGCGACGAUCAGUAGCCGACCUGAGAGGGUGAUCGGCCACAUUGGAACUGAGACACGGUCCAAACUCCUACGGGAGGCAGCAGUGGGGAAUAUUGCACAAUGGGCGAAAGCCUGAUGCAGCAACGCCGCGUGAGCGAUGAAGGCCUUCGGGUCGUAAAGCUCUGUCCUCAAGGAAGAUAAUGACGGUACUUGAGGAGGAAGCCCCGGCUAACUACGUGCCAGCAGCCGCGGUAAUACGUAGGGGGCUAGCGUUAUCCGGAAUUACUGGGCGUAAAGGGUGCGUAGGUGGUUUCUUAAGUCAGAGGUGAAAGGCUACGGCUCAACCGUAGUAAGCCUUUGAAACUGGGAAACUUGAGUGCAGGAGAGGAGAGUGGAAUUCCUAGUGUAGCGGUGAAAUGCGUAGAUAUUAGGAGGAACACCAGUUGC